rnacentral:rRNA from 1 species
UACGUAGGGGGCAAGCGUUAUCCGGAAUUACUGGGUGUAAAGGGAGCGUAGACGGUAAUGUAAGUCUGGAGUGAAAGGCGGGGGCCCAACCCCCGGACUGCUCUGGAAACUAUGUUACUAGAGUGCAGGAGAGGUAAGCGGAGUUCCUAGUGUAGCGGUGAAAUGCGUAGAUAUUAGGAGGAACACCAGUGGCGAAGGCGGCUUACUGGACUGUAACUGACGUUGAGGCUCGAAAGCGUGGGGAGCAAACAGG